rnacentral:rRNA from 1 species
AAACGAAGUGGGAAGGCACAGACAGCCAGGAGGUUGGCUUAGAAGCAGCCAUCCUUUAAAGAAAGCGUAAUAGCUCACUGGUCGAGUCGUCCUGCGCGGAAGAUGUAACGGGGCUCAAACUAUGCACCGAAAUCGCGGAUAUGCGUAAGCAUAUGGUAGGAGAGCGUUCUGUAGGCCUGCGAAGGUGUCUCGUAAGGGAUGCUGGAGGUAUCAGAAGUGCGAAUGCUGACAUGAGUAGCGAUAAAGCGGGUGAAAGGCCCGCUCGCCGAAAGCCCAAGGUUUCCUGCGCAACGUUCAUCGGCGCAGGGUGAGUCGGCCCCUAAGGCGAGGCUGAAAAGCGUAGUCGAUGGGAAACAGGUUAAUAUUCCUGUACCUCUUUGUAAUGCGAUGGGGGGACGGAGAAGGUUAGGUCAGCCGGGUGUUGGACGUCCCGGUUUAAGCGUGUAGUCGUGCCUGGUAGGCAAAUCCGCCGGGCUUAGAUGAGGCGUGACGACGAGUGGUCUUUGACCGCGAAGUGAUUGAU